rnacentral:lncRNA from 1 species
CAAAAAUUCUAAAGGAACCACAGGGAAUUCCUUUUAAGAGCAACAGAAAGCAAGCUAGCUGAGACUUCUGGAUUUCUCAAAUUCUUCUGUGAACAGAAGAAUAAAUCAA